UGGGGAAUCUUGCACAAUGGGCGAAAGCCUGAUGCAGCGACGCCGCGUGGGGGAUGAAGCUUUUCGGAGUGUAAACCCCUUUCGACCCGGACGAAUGUCCCGCAAGGGAACUGACGGUACGGGUAUAAGAAGCCCCGGCUAACUACGUGCCAGCAGCCGCGGUAAGACGUGGGGGGCCAGCGUUGCUCGGAAUUACUGGGUGUAAAGGGUUCGUAGGCGGUGUAGCAAGUCGGGAGUGAAAUCUCUGGGCUCAACCCAGAGACUGCUUCCGAAACUGCUGUGCUUGAGUGUGGGAGAGGCGCGUGGAAUUGCAGGUGUAGCGGUGAAAUGCGUAGAUAUCUGCAGGAACACCCGUGGCGAAAGCGGCGCGCUGGACCACUACUGACGCUGAGGAACGAAAGCUAGGGGAGCAAACAGGAUUAGAUACCCUGGUAGUCCUAGCCCUAAACGAUCAGGACUUGGGGUGCCGCACGUUCGUGCGUCGUCCCGGAGCUAACGCGUUAAGUCCUGCACCUGGGGAGUACGGUCGCAAGACUG
rnacentral:rRNA from 1 species